GAUGAACGCUGACAGAAUGCUUAACACAUGCAAGUCGACUCGAGUCUUCGGACUUGGGUGGCGCACGGGUGAGUAACGCGUAAAGAACUUGCCUCUUAGACCGGGACAACAUCUGGAAACGGAUGCUAAUACCGGAUAUUAUGGUUUUUUCGCAUGGAGGAAUCAUGAAAGCUGGAUGCGCUAAGAGAGAGCUUUGCGUCCCAUUAGCUAGUUGGUGAGGUAACGGCCCACCAAGGCAAUGAUGGGUAGCCGGCCUGAGAGGGUGAACGGCCACAAGGGGACUGAGACACGGCCCUUACUCCUACGGGAGGCAGCAGUGGGGAAUAUUGGACAAUGGACCGCAAGUCUGAUCCAGCAAUUCUGUGUGCACGAUGACGUUUUUCGGAAUGUAAAGUGCUUUCAGUCGGGAAGAAGUCAGUGACGGUACCGACAGAAGAAGCGACGGCUAAAUACGUGCCAGCAGCCGCGGUAAUACGUAUGUCGCAAGCGUUAUCCGGAUUUAUUGGGCGUAAAGCGCGUCUAGGCGGCAAGGAAAGUCUGAUGUGAAAAUGCGGAGCUCAACUCCGUAUGGCGUUGGAAACUGCCUUACUAGAGUACUGGAGAGGUAUGCGGAACUACAAGUGUAGAGGUGAAAUUCGUAGAUAUUUGUAGGAAUGCCGAUGGGGAAGCCAGCCUACUGGACAGAUACUGACGCUAAAGCGCGAAAGCGUGGGUAGCAAAACUGG
rnacentral:rRNA from 1 species